rnacentral:RNase_P_RNA from 1 species
UCAGGCGGCCGGACGGCCGCGCCCUCCACCCUUCGCGAGAAGGCUGGGGCCGAAAGGCCGGAGGGUGAGGAAAGUCCGGGCUCCACGGGAACACGGUGCCGGGUAACGCCCGGCGGGGGCGACCCCAGGGACAGUGCCACAGAGAACAGACCGCCGGCGCGCCGCGAGGCCCGUCGGCAAGGGUGAAACGGUGCGGCAAGAGCGCACCGCGGCCCCGGCAACGGGGACGGCACGGCAAACCCCACCGGGAGCAAGACCGAAUAGGGGCGGGCGGCGGAAGCCCUCAAACGGCAGGCCGCAGGCGCGUUCCCGCGCGUCCCGCCCGGGUAGGUCGCGCGAGGCGCCCGGCGACGGGCGUCCCAGACGAAUGGUCGUCCAGGGGUGGCGACACCCCGGACAGAACCCGGCUUACAGGCCGCCUGACCCG